ACAGGUGACGUGCAGUGGAUGCACAAGAGGUUUCCAAACUCGAGUAGAGAAACCUUUAUGUUGGUGGUUCGAAUCCGCCCACCUGUC
rnacentral:tRNA from 1 species